CUGUUUAAGAGCAGCUUCCUGUCUCUAUCUGAUCAAGCAGAAGCAGACACUUUUCUUAGAAGCAGAUACUGGUUACACUGCCAGUGGCAUAACAGGAACCCUGCACGGGCACACGUGGCUGCCAAGGACAGCUGUAAGCCAAUACCAUCCUCCUAGGCAAAACCAGCAGGUGUGCUCAGUAGCAGAAAAAAAACCUGGGAAUGCUUCAGAUUAUGCAUUCAGAAGGCUGGAAUCUCGUCAAUCAGGUCCUGAAGAACUAACAGAUGACAACCCAUCAGACUACAACAGGGGGUUUUAUUGCACCCAGGCUGGAAUUAUCUCAG
rnacentral:lncRNA from 1 species